rnacentral:rRNA from 1 species
UACAGAGGUCUCGAGCGUUGUUCGGAUUCAUUGGGCGUAAAGGGUGCGUAGGUGGUAUGGUAAGUCGGAUGUGAAAUCCCGGGGCUCAACCCCGGAACUGCAUUCGAUACUGCCGUGCUUGAGUACUGGAGAGGAGAUCGGAAUUUACGGUGUAGCAGUGAAAUGCGUAGAUAUCGUAAGGAAGACCAGUGGCGAAGGCGGAUCUCUGGACAGUUCCUGACACUGAGGCACGAAGGCCAGGGGAGCAAACGGG